GACGUUGUUCUGGCGACUUCUUGGCGUUCACGGCGUGGUCCUUGGUGUGACUACAACAAUUAAGGCACGCGGUGAAUGCCAAGACGACCGCCGCUGCCUCC
rnacentral:pre_miRNA from 1 species